rnacentral:RNase_P_RNA from 2 species
AGAGCAGGUCGGGCGGUCGCUGCCGCGCUAAGCUUAUAGCUUAAUGCGGGAGAGGAAAGUCCGAACACCACAGGGCAGCGAGCCAGCUAACGGCUGGGCGCUUGCGCGCCUGUUGAAUAAUUUGAGCGAAUAUCGCUUUUAUUCUUAUCAGCAGGCACGCGAGUGACGACAAGUGCAACAGAGAACAGACCAGCCAGCGUGUUCAAUAGAGAAUCUCAAUUGAACGGCGGGUGAUGGGUGAAACGGUGCGGCCUCGACGAGAGGCUUAAUGUAAGAGCGCACCGGCGCGCGUGGUAACACGUGCGGCCAGGCAAACUCCUCGCGGUGCAAGACCAAAUAGGGAGGCGUCAAAAAAGGCUGCCCGCCCGAAGCUGCGUUUCUUUACAAAGAGCGUGGCUACGACCUCCGGGUAGGUCGCUUGAGCCAUUCGGCGACGGAUGGCCUAGAUGAAUGAUCGUCACUCCGUACGAAAAAUGCGGAGUACAGAAUUCGGCUUACAGACCUGCUCUCAAA